GGUUUAAUUCGAAGCAACGCGAAGAACCUUACCAAGUCUUGACAUCCUCUUGACCGGUCAGUAAUGUGACCUUUCCUUCGGGACAAGAGAGACAGGUGGUGCAUGGUUGUCGUCAGCUCGUGUCGUGAGAUGUUGGGUUAAGUCCCGCAACGAGCGCAACCCCUAUCCUUAGUAGCCAGCAGUAAGAUGGGCACUCUAGGGAGACUGCCAGGGAUAACCUGGA
rnacentral:rRNA from 1 species